AUAAUUAGUUGUGGUGGUCGGCCAAUAUAUUGUGGUGGUCAAAAGCAAAGCAAAGAGUACACAUAAAACGAAAACGGAGAUGUUAAAAAUAAAAUAGAGAAAACGGAAACAGUAAUUUAAAUUGCGAGUGGUUAUCAAGCGGAUUAAGCAUUGUUACAGUUCACGACUAUUUUGGCUUUCGGUAUAAAAACAACAACAACAAUAGUCAACUACGCACCGACAACGGACACCAACACCAAGAACCAACACCGACACUGACACCGACGACCGACGUACGAUUAACGCCCUCCCUACGCUCCGCACUUUUGGCAACCGCACACACACACUGACGCACACACGCAUACACUCCUCUCUACAUAUAAUCAUCAUCAUUAUCAUCAUCAUCAUCAUUAUCAUCAUCAUUGCACAGGCGAAGGCACAAGGCACAUAAACACUCAAACACUUAUCUAUAUACCGCGUUUAUCAACGCCGCCCGUCGCCGCCACCGCUGCUGACCCACCACCCCCCCACCAGCCUGAUCCACAACAUCAACUUUGUUUGCUAUUGUUGUCUGCUGCUGCUGUCAUUUGUUUUGUUUCCUUAAAUGUGAACGCACACACACACACACACGCAUGCAAACACCUACAGACACGCGCAAAGUACGAAGGAGCAAACAAAGACGGCUAGAAAAGUAAAAAACUGCAACAAAAACAACGGAGCGAGAGUGACUCCAUUGAGAGCGAAAGCGAAAAGUGCAAUAGAGAGCGCGAGUGGAAAAGUGCAAGCCUAAAUAACAAAACGAUCAGCGAUCGCGGGGCGUAGGGGCAGCGGGGGGCAGAGGCCGUGCGAGAAAGUCAAACUCAAACUCUAUGGGUCAAAAGGCAAGCACACCAGCGACCAGCGGCCAGCAGAGCCCACGCUCCAGAACAUUCUCCAGCAGCUCCACGGGUGCAACCGCAACCGACACAACGCCGCAAAGUUCAGCGGUCGGUGGCCGCGGCGGCGAUGCCGGUCAGGGUUUCAACUUGCUGCGCACACUGCCGGGUCUACAGGUCUAUCACCAUCAGCACAAUCAGCAGAACUCCACGUCUAUAGAUCGCCAGCGUGCACGCAGCCUUAGCUCUGUGCCAGAUAUACAACAACAGCAGCAACAACAACAGCAGCAGCAACAACAACAACCACAGCAGGGAUCCACAACGUAUCCGCACACACAUCCCGCCGUCUCAGUCUCUGUGUCAUCUAAUUCAAAUAGCAAUAGUUUCCAAGUGGCAGCCGGCAACAACAAUGGCUCAUCGGCUGCCGCACAAAGCUACAUGCAACAGCGACGAGCUUUUGGUGACUCAAUACGCGAGAUGUCCAUGACCGGCGCCAAUAUCGUUGAGAGCAUCGCAAUGGCUGCAUCUGCAACAUCUGCGAAUGGCAUCGGUCGUGUUUACACAGCGACAUCGCUGCCAUCGCACAUUUGGUCCUUCAAUGGCAUCAAGUGCCCCGUGUGCAAUAAGUUCGUGUUGCCAGACGAUAUUGAAUGCCAUUUAGUUAUGUGCCUAACAAAACCACGACUCUCAUAUAAUGAGGAUACAUUAUUGGACGCCAAGGGCGAGUGCGUCAUAUGCCUUGAAGACUUGAGUCCAGGUGAUACAAUUGCUCGAUUGCCAUGUCUAUGCAUAUACCACAAAGGCUGCAUUGAUCGUUGGUUUGAGGUGAAUCGCUCCUGCCCCGAGCAUCCAGGAGAUUAGUAAAAAUCUCAUUAGAGCUCGUUAAGUCGUUUAACGUCUAAGUGGGCAGUGCGUAGAGCGAGUGCCAUAAACAAAACUGGAUGAUAGACGACUUUUCAGCAAGCAUUUGUUAGCAACAAAAAGCCAACAUUGUAAAGAUCAUCAAUUGUUAAAAGGAAUGGAAAAUGAAAUGAGAGGAGAGGCUACGACAAGCAAAAUUUGGAUCGAGCGAUCGAUCGUUUUGACCUACCGACCGACUGUUUAUGCAAAUCCACAAAAAACAAACACAAAUCAAUUGAAACAAACUAAUUUACAAUGCUAUCACAACUAGCAAGUGCAACGUCAACAAACAAAGGACAAAGGACAAAAGUGAACGAAACCAACCAACCCACAAACAAAAAAAGAAAUAAAUAAGAAAGCAAAAUCAACACGAUGUUAAGAAUGAUGUAAAGAUAAAGUUAAUGAUGAUGUAAGUGCAUGAAAGCGAAGCAACCAACCAACCAACAAAAGAAUGUCAACCAAUGUGAUGUUAAAUUUUAUAUUUUGUACUAUGGAUAUGAUGUAAUUGUAAUGUAAUGUAUAUGUAUGUAUGUAUUUAUUAUUUUAAAAAACAAACUAAAAUAGGAUAAACACAGAACAACUAAAAAACUAAAAAAAAAAAAAAAAAACAACAAACACACACUAUAAAUAAUUAUGCUUAAUUAGUAAACAAAAGCAAAGCAACCAAAAACAAAAAAGGAUGAAAGCCUUACUUUAAAAAAUUGAUAUACUAUGUCACUUUAUGUAAUUGUUUUUUAUUUCAAAUUUUUACAAAUUCUUUGUGUUUAUCCAUGUCAUAAAUUAGUUAUUGCUAUUUAUAUUAUUUUUAUACACACCCAGUUUUUUUUUGUUAUAAUUGUAUUUUGUUUGUAUUGUUAAUUUGACUAAAAAAAUUUUUAAAAAACAAUGUUAAAUGAGAAAAUAUUUCAAAUAUUGAACCAUCUGUCAUGUGAAAAUUCUGGUCAAACGAAUGCUUAAGGCAAUUAACUGUAUUUCAAGUUUAAAAACUGGCUAAUGGAGUUCCUGUCCUAGACAAAGGGUAUCCAAAAAACAAAAUAGCCGCAUUCAUAAGCCGAAACGUUACGUAGCCUACAAGCUGUGCCGUACAUAUGCAUAUAUAUAGAAUAUAAAACGAAACUAUUAUUUAGUGUUCGGGUUUUUUUUUUUUUUAUAUUAUUUUGUAAUUUAAUAACAACUUUCCUUAGCCGCAGUUGCGGCGGAAAUGGAUGACGACAGCUCGUAAAGUUCUUGUGUAAAUUAUAUAUAUACGUAUAUAUGUAUAGUAUAUACAUUUAUAUGAAUAAAUAGAUAUGUAUACAUUAAAAUACUGUACAUAUAUAAAGAUAUAAUUGUAUAACUAUAGCGUUAGCGUUCCGCAUUGAGCGUAACCGUAAAGGUAACAUUAACGUUAACUGAAAAAUGAUUUUCCCAACACAAACAAAAUGAGAACAAAAGAAAAUAGUUACAAAUGAAAACAAUAUUUAUACAUAUACAUAGCUGGAAUUUUCAUUUAUAAUAGUACUUGUUUGUAAAAUACAUUGAAAUACAUACACACACACACACACAAAGAGAUAACAACAAAAAUAGCUGUAAGCGAGAAUCCCAAUAACGUUAAUGUUGAUUUGCAACAAAUACCUAAAAACAAAAUGAAUUAGCUGGUGACAUGUAUGUCUUGAUCCUAUUAGGAACAUUUAAAACUUUUUACACCCUAUCCAACGGAAAACAAGAACAACAAAAAUAUAAUCGUAAUUGAUAAACGAAUGAUUACCAAGUAAAAUGACAACCGAUGGGAAAAAGCUAAUUGAGAUAAAAAACAAAAAAAAUUUAGGAAAUAAACGAGUGAUUAUAUAUAAAUACA